rnacentral:rRNA from 1 species
AAAGAAAGAGGGAGGGAGGAAGAAAAAAGGUAAGUAGAACGAGAAAUUAGGGUCUAGUGGAGCAAGGGUGAGUAACGAGUGGGAACCUGCCUUUAGGUUAGGAAUAACUCCCCGAAAGGGGUGCUAAUACCGGAUAAUGUCUUCGGACCAAAGAUUUAUCGCCUUUGGAUGGGCCCGCGUUGGAUUAGCUAGUUGGUAGGGUAAAAGCCUACCAAGGCGACGAUCCAUAGCUGGUCUGAGAGGAUGAUCAGCCACACUGGGACUGAGACACGGCCCAGACUCCUACGGGAGGCAGCAGUGGGGAAUAUUGGACAAUGGGCGAAAGCCUGAUCCAGCAAUGCCGCGUGAGUGAUGAAGGCCUUAGGGUUGUAAAGCUCUUUUACCCGGGAUGAUAAUGACAGUACCGGGAGAAUAAGCGCCGGCUAACUCCGUC